rnacentral:rRNA from 1 species
GACUGCCUUGGAAACAAGGAGGAAGGUGUGGGCAACGGUAGGUCUGUAUGCUCCGAAUCUGCUGGGCUACACGCGCGCAACAAUGGCGAGGACAAUGGGAUGCAACACCGAAAGGUGGAGCUAAACCUCGAAACCUCGUCCUAGUUUAGAUUGAGGGUUGUAACUCACCCUCAUGACACCGGAAUCCCUAGUAAUCGGGCUUUAUCACGGCCCGGUGAAUAUGUCCCUGCUCUUUGCACACACCGCCCGUCAAACCAACCGAGUUGGGUUUGGGUGAGGUGUAUCUUUCAGGUACAUCGAAUCCAGAUUCGGUGAGGUGGGUUAAGUCGUCACAAGGUAGCCGUAGGGGAACCUACGGCUGGAUCACCUCCU